ensembl:misc_RNA Metazoa_SRP Metazoan signal recognition particle RNA
GCCAGGUGCAGUGGCGCAUGCCUGUAGUCCCAGCUACUCAGGAGGCUGAGGUGGGAGGAUCACUUGAGCCCAGGAGUUCUGGGCUGUAGUGUGCUAUGCUGAUCAGGUGUCCACACUAAGUUCAGCAUCAAUAUGGUGACCUCCGGGGAUCACCAAGUUACCUAAGGAGGGGUGAACCGGCCCAGGUUGGAAAUGGAGCAGGUCAAAACUCCCAUGCUGAUCAGUAGUGGGAUCGCACCUGUGAAUAGCCACUGCACACCAGCCUGGGCAACAUAGCGAAACCCUGUCUCUA